GUUCGCUUGCUUGCUUGCUUGCGUGCUUGCUUGCGACCGUGCAAAUCUUUCGGUCGUUUUUUAACCCACUUCCCGUGAUCCAAUCGAGCUGACAUUUUGCACACAGACUCGUUGUGCGUGACAAUUUAUUUUCGUGAAAAAAAAUUCCUAAAUUUUCCACUUUUUAGGAAAAAAAAUCAUUUUAUUUAAAAUACCAAUGUGAUAAAAAUGAAACUCUUACUCAAGAAAAACAGAAAUGAAUAAUAAAAUAAAACCGAUGCCACGCAUAUAAAGGAUUUAUAGUGAAAAACUUUGUUUUUACGGGUUAAUUUUUAUGCUAUCGGCAUACCCCAUUUUCAUUGAUUUUACCCGAAAUUAACUCCGUCACUUAUGAUUGCAAGUUGCGAGUCAGUGACUGCUUUAGUGUUAAAAUAUGGUGCUGUAUUUUUAGGAUAGUGUAUUUAUAAUAUCAUUUUAUGUAGAUAUCCACAUUUAUUUAAUAUUUUUCUUCCGCAGUUUUUAUUGCAAAUGCAAUAUUUGAUAUCUCAAAAACCUGAUGUGAUAGACAAAAACUGAUGCCAGAUUUGGAAUCAGCACCCCAAAAUUACCUUAACCGCUGGAAUACCUUAUGCCAGAAAAAGUGUGACCAGUGUCAUAAGACGCUUUGCUGUGCCUUGAGAGUGAACAUUCAGAGUUCAAAUCACAACGUGGCACUUGGUUACAUGGAGGGCAGCACAGCAAACCGCUCAAGAUGUUUUUUCCCCCCCCCCAAGGGUAGCCCCCACUGCGAUGUGGACGGGGUAGUGAAAGGAUGAUUCCGAAAAGCGAAACAUUAAAAGUCGAAAAUGGAAGAGCUCUCUGUCUUCACCAAAGCUGCGCUGACCAGCGUGGUGAAGUAUGGUCAAACCACCACCCCCACGGAGGCAUACGGUGCGGGAGAGACCCUCGACCAAGAAAUGGCCCGACAACAGGCCGAUACUUGCACACACACUGCGUUCUUAAAACGUCCAAACAUCGGUAAGAACGGCAUUCGAUGUGACAGCACACCCACGCGCGCCAGCCGUUUUAUUUGGUUUUAACGCUUGCGCCGUCAACCCUUCCAAACAGCAGCGACAUCCAAGGCAAACGAGCAAUCACCAUGAUUAAUCAACAAGUGCAAGAAAGAUGUGUAAAUGCAUUGUUCCAUCAGCUGCAUAGUCAAGUGUUCCCUCGCAACAACAAAAACAUACAUUUAUUUUUCACCCCAUAUCAUUGUGGGUUUUGCGGUGACCCCCCCCUGCCCCACUUGGAGUGAUCCACGCACAGAGCCUCCACUAAAAAAAAUCUGGGGUACAUUGAGAAAGUAACCCUUCAUUGACACCUCCCACCAAACUCAAUAAAACUCAUUCAACCUUUUAGCACGCUCAUUUCUCAAGAUAUGGAGGGGUGGAUUGAACAUUCGAUCGGGCGUUGAGGGGUGGGGUGUUCAAUUUCAAGUUGGGUAUACAAGGAUCACCAUUUUAACGCGUAGGCUUUCGCGACCAAUAUCCAUAACAGGUUUUUUUGGGGUUAGAUCAAAUCUGGCUGCCACCGAAUGAUGCCGGUUGUAAUUACUGGUGAAACGGCGUACUCUUGAUUGUAAAUGGUGUGGAUUUGCUUUCCAACACA